rnacentral:rRNA from 1 species
AGUAGUUGACUCGUGCACGAGACACGCUGGCGGCGUGCUUAACACAUGCAAGUCGAACGGAAAGGCCGGGUGCUUGCACCCGGUACUCGAGUGGCGAACGGGUGAGUAACACGUGGGUGAUCUGCCCUGCACUUCGGGAUAAGCCUGGGAAACUGGGUCUAAUACCGGAUAGGACUACCGGUUGGUACUGGUGGUGGAAAGUUUUUCGGUGCAGGAUGAGCUCGCGGCCUAUCAGCUUGUUGGUGGGGUAAUGGCCUACCAAGGCGGCGACGGGUAGCCGGCCUGAGAGGGUGGACGGCCACAUUGGGACUGAGACACGGCCCAGACUCCUACGGGAGGCAGCAGUGGGGAAUAUUGCACAAUGGGCGCAAGCCCGAUGCAGCGACGCCGCGUGGGGGAUGACGGCCUUCGGGUUGUAAACUCCUUUCAACCAUGACGAAGCUUUUGUGACGGUAGUGGUAGAAGAAGCACCGGCUAACUACGUG